rnacentral:tmRNA from 1 species
GGGGGCGACAUGGCUUCGACGUGGGUCGCGAACCCCUGGGUGCAUGCCGAGGUGCAGAGUACCUCGUUAAACCAUCUGCAAACCUUAUAGUUGCCAACGACGACAACUACGCUUUAGCCGCUUAAAAACCGGCUCGAAGCCUUCCGCCCGGCACGUGCCUGUGCGUCCGGUCCCGGGAGUCAUCCACACAGGAUCGCGCGAGGAGUCGUCCGGGCUCCGACCGUUAAAACCCAAUUCCGGACUGGCUGCGGGUUUGCCCUUUCCACCGGGUUGCCCGUAGUGAGAACAAAGGUGGAAUAAGCAUGUAGAGCUCAGGGCAGAGGGCUUGCGGACGCGGGUUCGAUUCCCGCCGCCUCCACCA